UGGGGAAUUUGGACAAUGGGGCAACCCUGAUCCAGCCAUCCCGCGUGUGCGAUGAAGGCCUUCGGGUUGUAAAGCACUUUUGGCAGGGAAGAAACAGCCUGGGAUAAUACCCCGGGCGACUGACGGUACCUGCAGAAUAAGCACCGGCUAACUACGUGCCAGCAGCCGCGGUAAUACGUAGGGUGCAAAGCGUUAAUCGGAAUUACUGGGCGUAAAGCGUGCGCAGGCGGUUCGGAAAGAAAGGUGUGAAAUCCCAGGGCUUAACCUUGGAACUGCACUUUUAACUACCGAGCUAGAGUACGUCAGAGGGGGGUAGAAUUCCACGUGUAGCAGUGAAAUGCGUAGAGAUGUGGAGGAAUACCGAUGGCGAAGGCAGCCCCCUGGGAUGAUACUGACGCUCAUGCACGAAAAGCGUGGGGAGCAAAACAGGAUUAGAUACCCUGGUAGUCCACGCCCUAAAACAAUGUCAACUAGCUGUUGGGGUUUAAUUAAACCUUAGUAGCGCAGCUAACGCGUGAAAGUUGACCGCCUGGGGGAGUACGGUCGCAAAGAUUAAAAACUUAAAAUGAAUUGACAGGGGUCAUAGCUGUUUUUCCAUG
rnacentral:rRNA from 1 species